UGCUGCAGUACUCCCGCGCUGCACACCGCUGCUGCUCCCCAACCACGGCGCUAUGAUGGUGCUUGCUCGCCUGGUCGCCGCCUCGUCUCGCCCAAUCUUGAUAUAGUCCGGGGCGGCGCCGGCACCGCUCGACCGCGUCGUUGCCUCCUCUGCGUCAUGAGAAGCGCCACCAUUGCCUCCACCCCCACUGGGCAAGGAGCUCGAGGUGUUUGGGGGUUCGUGUUUCCUACACAGGCCAAAACACUAUUGGAGCCUUGGAGUUUGAAACCAGUCGUUUGGAGCAGAUCAGCUCAAAAGAGAUCCUUUGUACCAUUUGCAGACUACCCAUCUCCCUCUGGCCUGGAGUCUCGCUCGCCUCUGUUUUCCCCCUGUGGACACACAUGAGACUCAGAUCUUGGCUCGUCGUAGAGGAAUCGAUAGCAAGAAUCAACCAGAGAAAGGAUGUAUACAAGAGCUCGAGGCAGAGAUGGCGGAGCUCGGGCGAGCUCGAGACUAUGGAUCCAGGGCUUGAGUGCUCACGGGAUGGAGGUGCUCAGGAUGGAGGCAGGGGAGGGCGCCCUGCGGGAAGUGAUUUAUGUGCUCCUUGAUCAGUUUUUUUAUAACUGAUGGCAUCUUACAUUGUUGUCUUUUACCGAUUAACUGGUUAACUCUUUUCCUAAAUGGUCUUAGAUUUCUGCUUUCUAUUUGCGCCAGUUUCUUUUUACAAGAGAUGAGAUCUUACACAAUAUAUUUUUGCCUUGGUUGAUCUAAUUAAAAUUUUCCUUCAGCACGUGCAUAUGAUGUUAAUAUAAAGCUAUUUGGAAGUACA